rnacentral:rRNA from 1 species
UACGGAGGAUGCAAGCGUUAUCCGGAAUGAUUGGGCGUAAAGCGUCCGCAGGUGGCUGUGUAAGUCUGCUGUCAAAGAGCGAAGCUCAACUUUGUAAAGGCAGUGGAAACUACACGGCUAGAGUACGUUCGGGGCAGAGGGAAUUCCUGGUGUAGCGGUGAAAUGCGUAGAGAUCAGGAAGAACACCGGUGGCGAAGGCACUCUGCUAGGCCGUAACUGACACUGAGGGACGAAAGCUAGGGGAGCGAAUGGG